CUUUAAAUCCUUUAACGAGGAUCCAUUGKAGGGCAAGUCUGGUGCCAGCAGCCGCGGUAAUUCCAGCUCCAAUAGCGUAUAUUAAAGUUGUUGCGGUUAAAAAGCUCGUASUUGAAUCUGUGUGUCACGAUGUUGGUUCACCGCUCGCGGUGUUUAACUASCAUGCCGUGAGACGUCCUACCGGUGGGCUUAGCUCUUCACGGGGCGGUCCAACUAAUAUCCCAUCGCGGUGCUCUUUAUUGAGUGUCGAGGUGGGCCGGUACGUUUACUUUGAACAAAUUAGAGUGCUUAAAGCAGGCUAUCUUCGCCUGAAUACUGUGUGCAUGGAAUAAUGGAAUAGGACCUCGGUUCUAUUUUGUUGGUUUUCGGAACCCCGAGGUAAUGAUUAAUAGGGACAGAUGGGGGCAUUCGUAUUGCGACGUUAGAGGUGAAAUUCUUGGAUCGUCGCAAGACGGACAGAAGCGAAAGCAUUUGCCAAAAAUGUUUUCAUUAAUCAAGAACGAAAGUUAGAGGUUCGAAGGCGAUCAGAUACCGCCCUAGUUCUAACCAUAAACGAUGCCAGCUAGCGAUCCGCCGAAGUUCCUCCGAUGACUCGGCGGGCAGCUUCCGGGAAACCAAAGCUUUUGGGUUCCGGGGGAAGUAUGGUUGCAAAGCUGAAACUUAAAGGAAUUGACGGAAGGGCACCACCAGGAGUGGAGCCUGCGGCUUAAUUUGACUCAACACGGGAAACCUCACCAGGCCCGGACACCGGAAGGAUUGACAGAUUGAUAGCUCUUUCUUGAUUCGGUGGGUGGUGGUGCAUGGCCCGUUCUUAGUUGGUGGA
rnacentral:rRNA from 1 species